rnacentral:lncRNA from 1 species
UUGGUUUUUUCUGAAAUCAUUUAUUCCCCCCCACCUUUGUUUUUAUUUUAUUUUUUAGGAUUUUGGCCCCAAACAGUAAUUAUCAAGAUGUUGAGACCCUCUAUAACUUCCUAAUCAACUAUGAGGUAAAUAAAAAUGUCAAAUUUACUGCCCACGAACUUUAUGAUUGUGUCUCUCAGACUGAAUAUAGGGAAAAGUUAACCAUUGGAUGCCACCAGCUGGUUGAGAUGGCGUAUACCAUGCAGCAGUGCAAUGCAUCUGUUUAUAUGGAGGCCAAAAACAGGGGAUGGUGUGAAGACAUGCUGAACUAUAGGAUAUAAGUACUGAUUUGUAACUUUAAAGGAAUUGCAUUUGUCCUUAAGAAUAACAAAGUAGUUUUCAAUCUGGUCAGUCUUUUGGGCCAAACCCAAGAGAAUUUUAAGAAAUGUUUCAUAGGUACAAAAAAGUGAUCGCCUAUUACUGACAAUCUCGUUGAAGCUCUAAAAAGCCUAAUGUGUCCACUAUGGAAUAAACUCCAUAGACUCCUCUCUUCUGGAGUUCGCAAUGCCUCCCUACCUCUACUCUUGAUAGUGAGCCAGUAUCUCUAAGGAAAGGAGAGACGUAUUUUUAGUCAUCCUGGGGCAGAGCCACUGUGGCAUCUGAGGAAGACCCAGAGUACAGUAUUAGCAUUUCUCUCAACCCUAGGUAUGGGCAUGUGACCAGAGACACUGCCAAACCCUAAGAAAUCAUUAGGACGUGAUCAUGCUCACUAUAUUCCACAAAUGAAAUCUUACUGUGGGCCGUUUUUUGUGAUCAAACUGUCAUCCAUGUUGACCUGGUGAAAAUAACACCCUCCUUCACCUCCCUCAAGGUAAUGAAAGUAGAAAUUUGACUUAAGCUCCUCCUUUCUUAUACAGCCUUUCCUUCUGUGGGCUUGUCACUUUUCAGUGCAUUUCUAGUGGGGAAGAGCAGGGCGACCCCUCUGCUGAGUUUCUCCUUAAAUGUGAAGCCUAAUAGAUUUCUGUAAUAGAAUUUGGUGGCAGUGACUGAUGUUUGCCUCUAGCUAAAACCAACUGUUAAGCUGACUUUUUAGUUAUGGGAUAAGUUGGAAAUCCUUGUUUACUGGAAUGUAUUAUGCUUUUGUUAACACAUUAGAUUAAAUCAAAUUUGGUAUUCUAUUAUAAAUGUUUAUUUUUCAAAGCAAUAAAUAACUUAUUUUUG